CGGAUGGAAAACUGCACCUCAGUUUCUAAAUUACGGGUUACGGUGCCUAGACUUUUGCCAGUUAUUUAAAGUUUGGUCACUGACUCAAUUCCAAAACUUCUAGCCUAAUUUUACAGUUACAUACUCAGGGAAAACACUGUAUUUGCUGAGUUAAAUAAUGUCAAGUAAGUGAUCGUCAGCUCCCUCUUGUGGCCAAUUAGUGUUUGUUGAUCAAAUGAAGAGCUUGCGGAAGCCAGGCGAAGAUGACUUCUGUUGGAAUGGAUCUACAAUGACUGUUUGCUACAGCGCUGCACAUUUUGUCUCUUGUUAACUCUCUCCAGUUCAGUUCACACAGCUCUCUGAAUACAUGUUGAUGAGAAAAUGAUCAGUGCUGGACUCAAGUAUAGGUGUCUGCAGCACAGUGACGGGAGUUACCAGAUCAGUUGGCGAGGCCAUAACGGAGGGGCGUUUUCAACCGCGUUACCUAAUUUGCUCACAGACUCGCUGGACAAGGAUAAAGAAAUACAGGAGAACUGAAUCAUGGGAGGAGGUCCCUGCACAUGAGGAUGAGUGUGUCAUCUUCACUAAGUCCUCACUGUUGUCUGUACUCAUCCCUUCUCAUCAUUCACCUUCUGAUUGAUUAUUAAUGUCUGGUUGAACUUGAGUAAGUCAUCUAAACUAAGGUUGUUCAUGUUCCUAAAUUAUAAUCCGCAAAACAAGAAGUUCCUACCGUCUGGUGUCCUGUCGACGGUGUGCCACGUCUCAAAAGGAUUGGCCAUGACCUCUUCUAACUCAAGGUGUUGGAGAAUGUCUGUUUUAAGACAAACAUUUGUGAGUGGGAAAAAAGCUCCACUCGACGCAUGCCGCAGACACCUGCUGGUCAAAAUAUGUAAAUGCAAGUAAGAAGAGUCCAAACAUGACACCUUUUGCAAAUGUUCAAGUGUAAUCUAUUACAUGUAAUCUACAAAUCAUUAAAUACAUAAAGUGUCUGUAUAAU